CCCAUGGGUAUAUUGUUUUUAAAUAUUCAAUGAAAGACGUUUGGAGAACGUCAAACUUUCUUUGCCACAGAGAGAAUGAGAGGACGGGGACAAGAAUGUACAGCAAGAACUUGCAGAACUCGGACAGAAGUGAAUUACCGGAUCUGAACACCUGAGUAGGUAAAGAAGCACAGCUGCACAAGCAAAGAAGAAACACUACUACCAUGAAUGCCCAAGACUUGUAUGACAAUGUGCUGCAGGGAAGAGAGCCCCAAGAGUGACACCACCAUUGAUGAGAAACCCGAGGACAACCUCUGGCUACAACUGGGCUUUACUGUGGACUCUGAGACAGGUGAGCAUUUACUGUCUCCUGAGAAAAACAUCAGCGGAGGAGACGUGACCCUUGACUCUGUGUCUCCUCUCAACUCUCCGUCCUUCACCCUCAAUGAGACAGUACCAGACUUCAAUCUUGACUUCAACCUUGAUGAAGCCUUGAAAUUUGUUGGACUGAACUGUUCUGAGACUGGGGAAACUGUCUGGAAGCCCUCAGAGCCUGAACCCACCUCUGACAACAAGGAAAGCCCUGGUAAGGAGGAGGAGGACAGCUUAGACACCUUGAACGACACCCUGGACGAUAUGAUCCAGGCCUCCCAGCUUCAUCCUCAACACCUGCGCUCACUACAGGGUACUGCUCGGGCUGCAUCCCACUCGACGAAUCAAAAUAUUUUACAGGAGAAAUUUCUCUUGAAAACCCAGCUAAUCAUCUAUGUGGUCUCUGAAAAUGAUCAUAGUGAGAGCAGAGCGCUUCAGAAUAUGGGCCAUGGUUGUACACAUGCAUCACUACCCACUGCAUACUCCAGCAGCAGCAGCAGCAGCAGACAGCUAAAUGCUGCAUCACCCAUCAAGAGGAUGAAGAUUGCAGCCACAUCAGAGAGGCUGGCUGUGAAUUUAGUCUUCCUGCCACACGUUGAAGUUCCUGCUGAUAGCCAAUUGGUCCUCACCUUGUUCAUCAGGCUUGACUCUUGCAUCUUCUGAAGGCUGUAGGAAGAGUAAGUAAGCCCAAUAGCAUUGCCUCCUGUGAUGUAUUGGACUGGCAGUUCCUUGAUUCUGGAGGAGUCUGCAAUAGGAAGACCACAAAUGUAGUAGUUGGUUGUGACAUCCAUACCUAUGAACAUGUAUUUACCUGCCAGAAUGCUUAAUUAUGUAAGGGACUCCCCAGAUUGUGGAGAUCCCAACAUUGUGGAAGCCUCUGGCCCCUGGGCAGCUGCCCUCUUUGCCCACUCCUAAAUCAAGGGCCCUGCACAAAUUUCUCUCUCUCUCUCUCUCUCUCUCUCUCUCUCUCUCUCUCUCUCUCUCUCUCUCUCUCUCUCUCUCUCUCUCUCUCUCUCUCUCUCUCUCUCUCUCUCUCUGUCUGUCUGUCUGUCUGUCUGUCUGUCUGUCUCUCUCUCUCUCUCUCUCUCUCUCUCUCUCUCUCUCUCUCUCUCUCUCUCUCUCUCUCUCUCUCUCUCUCUCUCUCUCUCUCUCUCUCUCUCUCUCUCUCUCUCUCUCUCUCUCUCUCUCUCUGAAGUGUGGAUGGUAUAUCAGCACAGGGAGCAAAAAACCAAGGAGCCAGUGAGGCUGUCACUUUGAAGAGGUCAUUGUUGUUGCAUCCAGCAUCCCAGCCUGACUGCCUAGACAGCUCCUGCAGGUUGCUGAAGGGCAGAGUCACAGACUGCUCCACUGCCAGGUGUGAGACCAGUGUGGCAGAGUAUGAUGUGUACACAAUGAGGGACACACCACAGCCAACCCUGUAGGUGACCCAUGCUGCACUGCUGAUUGGGUCCUCACUUUGCUGUAGGAGAGCUGACAACACGUACCAGCCAGCAACUCCCAUGCUGACAGGCUUCUCCCCCAUGGGUAUGUAGCACCUCUGGAGUUGGUCAGCAAAGAAGAGGAUGCUAGCCAAACCUAUCAUGUUAGUCAGGAUGCACCAGUACAGAGCUGUGUCCAUUGGGGUUGUGUAGGCUAGUAGCAUCUUGUCAAGAUCAUCAUAGGUGGCCACAAAAGGUUUAUAGCUAUGAGAGGAGGACUUGCCUUGUGAACAUCACAUUGGGGAAGCCCACCCCAGCAGCCCAGCCUCCCCUGACAGCUGUCAUCAUCUGCUGCCUUGCCUGGGAGGACCAUAGACACAGCUUGUCUCUGAUGUCUUCCCCACAAUGCCUUGUCUUUGUUGGCUUCAGUGCAAUUUGUUUGUCUUCAGUUUAAAUAGUAUUGUAUAUACUAUCUUGUCUUCACCAUCUUGAAAUGUGAAGGAUGUUCUUGACAAACAAACAAGGUAGUAUUGUAUAAUUAUUACUUUAAAUAUUGUCUUAAAUUAUCUUGAAAUUUGUAAAAAAAAAAAUGUGUAAAAAGAAAGCAAAUACAGAUGAUUAUCCCUGUAGUAAAGGAGGAAGGACUCAAUAUCCCUGUAGUGAAGGAGGAAGGACUCAAUUAU